ensembl:snRNA U6 U6 spliceosomal RNA
GUGCUUGCUUCCAGAGCACUUACACUGAAACUGGAGCGAUACAGAGAAGCUAAGCAUGGGCCCUGUGCAAGCAUGACAUGCCAAUUCGCGAAGCAUUCCGUAUUUUC